AUCUCCUCCUCCUCGCCCAGAUGGCCAGAUCCACUUCUCCCCGAGCAUCAUGGCCACCCCACCGGCCAACUUGCCGCUGUCCAUCUACACGACGCUCGUGCUGGUGGCCACUGGAGCACACAGCAAAACCCUGGAAGAGCCCAUGGCCCUCCUUGGCGCCUCGUCCCCCAUCGAGGUCACGGGGUUCGUGAGCGGCCCCGCCCCCGCCCCAUCCUGCUUACCCGCACACUGACGCAGUCCUACUUGGCGGAGAUACGUACAGAUGGUGCUUCUAAUAUACAAUACAACUGUUUUUCAUCACAUGAUAAUUUGCUUCCACAGUUUUUCUUUUGAAACGGAGCUUAAAUUGGACAUAGCAGGCAAGUAAUACUCAUGUUCGUCCAUCCUCGUCCGUUGAUGCUGUUGUGGCUACAACAUACACUUUGCCUCCCUCAUCGCCGACCGCUGCUGCGUCGUGGCCACCGCCAUGAUCCUAUUCGGCGCCCAACGACAUGUCCAUGCUCGACCGAGAGCGCGUUUCAGCACGCCCCAUCGACGAUCAUGAAGCAAAGUUUGUUGCACAAUGUCAUAAGCAAUAAAGGAGUGGUGACCUUCGCUUCACCAAGGGGUUCUCUACGGCCAUCGAGGGCCAGCGUGUAGAUGGAGACGACAACAAGGAGGUGGCUGCUAGUGAACUUUUCCCUUAAAUUCAUGAAAUUUUCUCUCAAAUACGCGGACUUGGCACCUCUUGUCGUCCAGAACGUGAAUCCACGACGCCUUGCUUCCUGAUCGGUCCAGGAAGCUUUGAUGGACAACCGAUGGGUGGCUGACAUUGCUGGCGGCCUGUCCACCUUAGGUCCGGUCCAAUAUGUUCAUCUUUGGGACGCCGUCAUGCCCGAGAACCUAAUCCCCGAUGAGCCAGGUCAGCCUCUCUGGCCUUGGAAUGCAGAGGGUUCCUACUCUGCUUUCUCCACCUAUCGCAUGUUGUGGGAGGGUGUCGUCUGCUCACCCUGUGCUAAGCAUCUCUCGAACAGCUGGGCUGCUCUGAGUUGCUAAAUUUUCAUCUGGCCAGCUCUCAAAUAUCGCAUUUGGACAUCGGAUCGGCUAGCAAGACGGGCCUGCAGGACGUGGUGGACGUCUGCUACUUCUGUGACCAAGCUGAAAAUACAACCGACCACAUCUUGAUGGGAUAUGCUUGUCAGGUUUGGCACUGCUGCCUUACUCUGGAUAUUACACUGGAGAAUUGGUGGCUGCCUUUGCGCGAUAGAGAACCAAUCAAUAGGAGGAAGAGAUUUGACUCUCUUGUCAUGCUGAUCUGCUGGAGUCUCUGGAAGCAAUGCAAUGCACGCGUCUUUGGCAACAGGACAUUACAGAAGAACGUAUCCUCGCUCCCUGUGUUGAUCAUUUAGGAGCUGAAGUUGUGGAAACUUGCUGGUUGUAAAGGAGUUGACGACAUGCGUGAGUAGUUCUUCUGGCUAGUGUAGGAGUGGAGUUUCUGUGAUAGUACC